rnacentral:rRNA from 1 species
UACGUAGGGUGCGAGCGUUGUCCGGAAUUAUUGGGCGUAAAGAGCUCGUAGGCGGUUUGUUGCGUCUAUCGUGAAAACCUGCAGCUUAACUGUGGGCUUGCGGUGGAUACGGGCAGACUUGAGUUCGGUAGGGGAGUCUGGAAUUCCUGGUGUAGCGGUGAAAUGCGCAGAUAUCAGGAGGAACACCGGUGGCGAAGGCGGGACUCUGGGCCGAUACUGACGCUGAGGAGCGAAAGCGUGGGGAGCGAACAGG